CUUCCCUAACACAGCGUAAAAUACGCAGGUACAGACACCGUGGAACCAAAACGCAUUAUUAUGCAUGAUACCAAUGUAUACAACUGGUGAAACAUGGUUUUUAAUCUAUGACCGGUGGAAUAUCGCAGUGACGAAUCUGUCGCCGUCUAACGUCUGCUGGAAAUUCAGACGAGAAACAACUUUCUCCCUGGAGACAGCAACAUUAUGGAUGAAGGACUAAUUUACCCGGAUCUCAUCCAAAUCUUGGAUUGCCUUAGGGCCCUAGGUCAGCCGCUGCUCUCGGAUACUCAACGUCAACUUCCACAGAGCCUGUCACUCUGCACCCACAGUGCGAUUCUUGUCAAAAAAGGUGCAUGGAGAGCCUGUGAGGAUGGAUGAUGUUGACUAUGACUGGAAUAUGCAUGAUCUUUCAUCUAAUUUAACCUAACUGUUGCAGGUGAAGUUUACUUGGAAUCUAUUUUAAAACCAUUAUUCUGGCUAUUUAUAUUGGCAAAUGUGUUAAUAAAAUAUGGGCAGGAUAGUAUUUGCUGUUAUUUGCAGUCUCUCAAGUAUCCUAAAAUACAAGAAUACCAUAUUGUGAAGCGCCUAUUAUACUUCAAAUUUAAUAAAGACACUGAGUCAUUCUAUUAUAAAUGAAAGCAGUAUACCCAUUUCACUCUUUAGAAGGCGCCAGCCGCGAUUGUCUUGCAUGAUAUUUCCAAUUAGCAACUUUGAAGAGUGAGGGAAACUAUGAAUUAGGGAGGUUAAGAAUGGGUUCAGUGGACAUAACACAUACUGAGUAGACCUGUCAAACCCAGAAUCACACUUUAUACA